rnacentral:lncRNA from 1 species
AGAUGAUAUCCCCUUUGGCAGCAACUGCAUUCCAUUUUUGGUGCUCAACUUUCUAAAUGCAAACAGAACUAAUUCUGGGUGCUCUAUCUGAAGCCGGUAUGGUUGAAACCUGUUACACUAUUAUUCAGUGCAUGAAUUCACUUCAUCCAACAGAGCCUGGAAACCUGCGACCACACCGGCCUCUGCUAAUUAGCUUGAAUAUUUGCAGCUGGUGACUCCUUCCAAUCCCCA